AUACGUAGGGUGCGAGCGUUGUCCGGAAUUACUGGGCGUAAAGAGCUCGUGGUGGUUUGUCGCGACGUCUGUGAAAUUCCGGGGCUUAACUCCGGGCGUGCAGGCGAUACGGGCAUAACUUGAGUACUGUAGGGGAGACUGGAAUUCCUGGUGUAGCGGUGAAAUGCGCAGAUAUCAGGAGGAACACCGGUGGCGAAGGCGGGUCGCUGGGCAGUAACUGACGCUGAGGAGCGAAAGCAUGGGUAGCGAACAGGAUUAGAUACCCUGGUAGUCCAUGCCGUAAACGGUGGGCGCUAGGUGUAGGGGUCUUCCACGACUUCUGUGCCGUAGCUAACGCAUUAAGCGCCCCGCCUGGGGAGUACGGCCGCAAGGCUAAAACUCAAAUGAAUUGGCGGGG
rnacentral:rRNA from 1 species